GUGCCACCGCCGCGGUAAUACAUAGGGGGCAAGCGUUAUCCGGAAUUAUUGGGCGUAGAGGGUGCGUAGGUGGCCAUUUAAGUCUUUGGUGUAAGUGCAGUGCUCAACGCUGUGAUGCUAAAGAGACUGGGUGGCUUGAGUGUGGUAGAGGCAAGUGGAAUUCCAUGUGUAGCGGUAAAAUGCGUAAAUAUAUGGAGGAACACCAGUGGCGAAGGCGGCUUGCUGGGCCAUAACUGGACACUGAGGCACGAAAGCGUUGGGAGCAAACAGGAUUAGAUACCCUGGUAGUCCACGCCGUAAACGAUGAGUACUAAGUGUUGGAGAAAUUCAGUGCUGUAGUUAACGCAAUAAGUACUCCGCCUGAGUAGUACGUACGCAAGUAUGAAACUCAAAGGAAUUGACGGGACCCCGCACAAGCGGUGGAUCAUGUUGUUUAAUUCGAUGAUACGCGAAGAACCUUACCAGGUCUUGGACAUCCCUUGCAAAGCUCUAGAGAUAGAGUGGAGGUUAUCAAGGAGACAGGUGGUGCAUGGUUGUCGUCAGCUCG
rnacentral:rRNA from 1 species